rnacentral:rRNA from 1 species
AAUGGGUCAGCGACUUAUAUUCUGUAGCAAGGUUAACCGAAUAGGGGAGCCGAAGGGAAACCGAGUCUUAACUGGGCGUUAAGUUGCAGGGUAUAGACCCGAAACCCGGUGAUCUAGCCAUGGGCAGGUUGAAGGUUGGGUAACACUAACUGGAGGACCGAACCGACUAAUGUUGAAAAAUUAGCGGAUGACUUGUGGCUGGGGGUGAAAGGCCAAUCAAACCGGGAGAUAGCUGGUUCUCCCCGAAAGCUAUUUAGGUAGCGCCUCGUGAAUUCAUCUCCGGGGGUAGAGCACUGUUUCGGCAAGGGGGUCAUCCCGACUUACCAACCCGAUGCAAACUGCGAAUACCGGAGAAUGUUAUCACGGGAGACACACGGCGGGUGCUAACGUCCGUCGUGAAGAGGGAAACAACCCAGACCGCCAGCUAAGGUCCCAAAGUCAUGGUUAAGUGGGAAACGAUGUGGGAAGGCCCAGACAGCCAGGAUGUUGGCUUAGAAGCAGCCAUCAUUUAAAGAAAGCGUAAUAGCUCACUGGUCGAGUCGGCCUGCGCGGAAGAUGUAACGGGGCUAAACCAUGCACCGAAGCUGCGGCAGCGACACUAUGUGUUGUUGGGUAGGGGAGCGUUCUGUAAGCCUGCGAAGGUGUGCUGUGAGGCAUGCUGGAGGUAUCAGAAGUGCGAAUGCUGACAUAAGUAA